GCCUAAUACAUGCAAGUCGAACGGUCUUUCUAUGGAAGCUUGCUCCACUGAGAAGAUAGUGGCGAACGGGUGAGUAACACGUGGGUAACCUGCCCAUAAGAGGGGGAUAACAUCCGGAAACGGGUGCUAAUACCGCAUAGUUUUCUUGAUCGCAUGAUUGAGAAAGGAAAGACGGCCUUUGUGCUGUCGCUUAUGGAUGGACCCGCGGCGUAUUAGUUAGUUGGUGAGGUAACGGCUCACCAAGACGAUGAUACGUAGCCGACCUGAGAGGGUGAUCGGCCACAUUGGGACUGAGACACGGCCCAAACUCCUACGGGAGGCAGCAGUAGGGAAUCUUCCGCAAUGGACGAAAGUCUGACGGAGCAACGCCGCGUGAGUGAAAGAAGGUUUUCGGAUCGUAAAACUCUGUUGUCAGAGAAGAACAAGUUGGAGAGUAACUGCUCCAGCCUUGACGGUAUCUGACCAGAAAGCCACGGCUAACUACGUGCCAGCCGCCGC
rnacentral:rRNA from 1 species